rnacentral:rRNA from 1 species
CCUACGGGGGGCUGCAGUAAGGAAUAUUGGUCAAUGGGCGGAAGCCUGAACCAGCCAUGCCGCGUGCAGGAAGACGGCCCUAUGGGUUGUAAACUGCUUUUGUCAGGGGAUAAACCUAUCUACGAGUAGAUAGCUGAAGGUACCUGAAGAAUAAGGAUCGGCUAACUCCGUGCCAGCAGCCGCGGUAAUACGGAGGAUCCGAGAGUUAUCCGGAUUUAUUGGGUUGAAGGGGUGCGCGUACGGAAGGGGUGAAAAUCUACGGCUCAACUGUAGACGUGCCUUUGAUACUGCCAGACUAGAGUUAAGAUGGAGUGGGCGGAAUGUGUUGUGUAGCGGUGAAAUGCUUAGAUAUAACACAGAACACCGAUCGCGAAGGCAGCUCACUAAACUUUGACUGACGCUCAUGCACGAAAGCGUGGGGAUCAAACAGGAUUAGAUACCCCUGUAGUC